UAGCUAGUUGGUGAGGUAAAGGCUUACCAAGGCGACGAUCUGUAGCGGGUCUGAGAGGAUGAUCCGCCACACUGGAACUGAGACACGGUCCAGACUCCUACGGGAGGCAGCAGUGGGGAAUUUUGGACAAUGGGGGCAACCCUGAUCCAGCCAUGCCGCGUGAGUGAAGAAGGCCUUCGGGUUGUAAAGCUCUUUCGGCCGGGAAGAAAACGCAUGGGCCAAUACCCUGUGUGGAUGACGGUACCGGAAUAAGAAGCACCGGCUAACUACGUGCCAGCAGCCGCGGUAAUACGUAGGGUGCGAGCGUUAAUCGGAAUUACUGGGCGUAAAGCGUGCGCAGGCGGUUUUGUAAGACAGGCGUGAAAUCCCCGGGCUUAACCUGGGAACUGCGUUUGUGACUGCAAGGCUAGAGUACGGCAGAGGGGGGUGGAAUUCCACGUGUAGCAGUGAAAUGCGUAGAGAUGUGGAGGAACACCAAUGGCGAAGGCAGCCCCCUGGGUCGAUACUGACGCUCAUGCACGAAAGCGUGGGUAGCAAACAGGAUUAGAUACCCUGGUAGUCCACGCCCUAAACUAUGUCAACUAGGUGUUGGGUGGGUAAAACCAUUUAGUACCGUAGCUAACGCGUGAAGUUGACCGCCUGGGGAGUACGGCCGCAAGGUUAAAACUCAAAGGAAAUGACGGGGACCCGCACAAGCGGUGGAUGAUGUGGAUUAAUUCGAUGCAACGCGAAAAACCUUACCUACCCUUGACAUGCCAGGAACUUGCCAGAGAUGGCUUGGUGCCCGAAAGGGAGCCUGGACACAGGUGCUGCAUGGCUGUCGUCAGCUCGUGUCGUGAGAUGUUGGGUUAAGUCCCGCAACGAGCGCAACCCUUGUCGUUAAUUGCCAUCAUUUAGUUGGGCACUUUAACGAGACUGCCGGUGACAAACCGGAGGAAGGUGGGGAUGACGUCAAGUCCUCAUGGCCCUUAUGGGUAGGGCUUCACACGUCAUACAAUGGUCGGUACAAAGGGUUGCCAAGCCGCGAGGCGGAGCCAAUCCCAGAAAGCCGAUCGUAGUCCGGAUUGCAGGCUGCAACUCGCCUGCAUGAAGUCGGAAUCGCUAGUAAUCGUGGAUCAGCAUGUCACGGUGAAUACGUUCCCGGGUCUUGUACACACCGCCCGUCACACCAUGGGAGCGGGUUCCGCCAGAAGUAGGUAGCCUAACCGCAAGGGGGGCGCUUACCACGGCGGGGCUCGUGACUGGGGUGAAGUCGGAACAAGGUAGCCGUAGGGGAACCUGCGGCAG
rnacentral:rRNA from 1 species